AUGACACCAUCGAUGAUGGAUCCAACUACAAAUCCUGCAUUAGAGCCUCUAGCACCAUCUCCUAGCAUGCCAAGAUCCACACUGCUUGGCUGGAGAGCCUUUGUCCCUAUCUAUAGUGUGCCAUCCCGUGGAGUUAAUGUUGCUCCACCCAGCGAUGCUUUGUCCUUGACGAAUACACCAAGACGCAUAGAAACUGAUCUGACGCUCCAGUUGGGCUCUGGUAAUAAAUACACCCAAAAGAGGACACUACCUUUGCUCAAGUCACUAAUAAUGGCAUCAAACAUUCAGCAAGGUGCCAAUCGUAGAUGCAAGCUGGCAACAGAUGGUGUUGAUCAAGGUAACAUGGGGGGAAGUCAGGUGGAUUGCUUAGAUCUGGAGUUACAUUUGUUUCACUAG
rnacentral:rRNA from 1 species